rnacentral:rRNA from 1 species
UGAACGCUAGCGGGAGGCUUAAUACAUGCAAGUCGAGCGGGAUUCUCCUUCGGGAGAUGAGAGCGGCGCACGGGUGAGUAACGCGUACGUAACCUGCCUUACAGAGGGGAAUAGCCCUGGGAAACUGGGGAUUAAUACUCCAUAGUAUAUAGAUGGCGCAUGCUGUUUAUAUUAAAAGUUGAGGCGCUGUAAGAUGGGCGUGCGUGCUAUUAGCUAGUUGGUGAGGUAACGGCUCACCAAGGCUACGAUAGCUAGGGGGCGUGAGAGCGUGGCCCCCCACACGGGUACUGAGACACGGACCCGACUCCUACGGGAGGCAGCAGUAAGGAAUAUUGGACAAUGGUCGAAAGACUGAUCCAGCCAUCCCGCGUGCAGGAUGACUGCCCUACGGGUUGUAAACUGCUUUUAUAUGGGAAGAAUAGCAUAGAUUCAUCUGUGUAUGACGGUACCAUAUGAAUAAGCACCGGCUAACUCCGUG